UACGGAGGGGGCUAGCGUUGUUCGGAAUUACUGGGCGUAAAGCGCGCGUAGGCGGACCUGCAAGUCGGGGGUGAAAGCCCGAGGCUCAACCUCGGAACUGCCUUCGAUACUGCGGGUCUCGAGUCCGGGAGAGGUGAGUGGAAUUCCUAGUGUAGAGGUGAAAUUCGUAGAUAUUAGGAAGAACACCAGUGGCGAAGGCGGCUCACUGGCCCGGUACUGACGUGACGUGAGGCGCGAAAGCGUGGGGAGCAAACAGG
rnacentral:rRNA from 1 species